UACAGAGGUCUCAAGCGUUGUUCGGAUUCAUUGGGCGUAAAGGGUGCGUAGGCGGCGCGGUAAGUCGGGUGUGAAAUCUCGGAGCUUAACUCCGAAACUGCAUUCGAUACUGCCGUGCUUGAGGACUGGAGAGGAGACUGGAAUUUACGGUGUAGCGGUGAAAUGCGUAGAUAUCAGGAGGAACACCAAAGGCGAAGGCAGCGUCCUGGCUCGUAUCUGACGCUCAUGUGCGAAAGCUAGGGGAGCGAACGGG
rnacentral:rRNA from 1 species